GUUCACACCAUUUGCUUAAAUUCAAAUGAGUUUGAAUUUAAACUUUGCAAUCUUGACCAUUCCUAUUUUUCUCGAAGCAAGCACAUUUUGUGAGUCCGAAAAAAUUAUCCACUUGCUCAAAUUAUUAGCCUAACCCUCUCUUUCUUUUUCUUUUCUCUAAUUGCUUUUCUGUUAAAGAAAAUUAGAGGGAGAGAGAAGAGAGCCAGCCCAUCUAUUUCGGCCCAUCUGCACCUAGGCCAGCCUGCACACAAUCCUAACCCUAGCUCGCACCCAGCGCCCCAUCUCCCUCCCCGAUCUCACCCUCUCCCUCUCAUCCUCCCUCCAGCGCCGCCAGGAGAGGAGCGCCCGUGCCCGAUGCCCUCUACGCCCGAUCCCCUCACCCCUCGUGCCCCUGCCUUCCCCAUGCCCAUUCGCCUCCUCCCUCAUGCACCCUGGACAUCCUCCUGGGCCCCGCGCACCCCUGUGCUCACAAGCAGGGGACCCCGAGGACGCGAGCCACCCUCCUCUACCAACCUGCGUCGCCUCCUCCUUCCUCAGCGCCAAGCCGCCGCCGCGUCAAGUCCCCUGCGCCUCCGCUUGCCGGAGCCCUGUCCCUGACCCCCUGCGUUGCCUGCCGCUGCUGCCUUCUUCCAGCGUCACUGGAGCCGCCCAGGGAACCAAUCCCCAUGGCGUCGUCGUCUCAAGGCCACGCCGCCGGUGGGACCCUGCGCGCCCGUUCCCGCCGCCUCAAGCUCCGUGCUCCUUCCCCGUUGCACCUCCUCAUGCCUCGUUCUGGCGUCAUCCGCGAUGUCCGAUGACCACAGGCGCCAACCUCCGCCUUCUCCCUGGUCAAGUUGAUGCCAGGGCCGACCCCAAGGCCUCCUCUGUCGUCGUCAUCAGCCGCAGCCGCAGGUAUGGCAGACCCGUGCCUACCAUGGCCCUCCUCGUGCCGCCUUGCUGUAGUUCCCAAGCUCGGACCCCCACCUUCGAGCCGAGGCCUUUGUGCUGCUUCUUUUGAGUUCAUGCCAAGUCUUGCAAGACCGGGGCCUCUUCGGCAUGACCGUCGUUGCCUUCCGUUUCAUCUUUGUCAAGUACCCAUGGACGCCAAGUACCACGAUGUCGAUGCCCCUCAAGUUCGGCUACACGGAAACGCCAAGUACCCCUACGCGCGAAGACGCCAAGACCAUUUCGGGAUUCACCAAGUACCGCUACCGAUGAAUCGAACAUCUACGAAAACGUGUACCACUACCAUCACCGAGAUCGCGAGAACCUCUACCGAGGACCUUGGAGCGCGUACGAUGACUGUUGUCGAACACCCGUACCUCUACCGCUUCCCGAACAUGAAUGACUACUUCCACUACGACCGUCCCGAGAACGUCUACUUCCUUUACUUCCCUCGACGAACCCGAACCGUCGCGAACCGCACACUUCGAAGGUAUCCCCAUGAGCUACCGGAACCGAUAUGUUGCCGUGACAUCAUUUUCGGAUUCGUUGCCGUGGCACCCUUUCUUUCCACCAUGGUGACAAAGUGCUUCGUAUCUCUUAUGUCAACAUUUUCAUAAUAAACAAUAGCAUAAAAACUUGCAAAUGUCAUCUGCAUCAUGAUAACGACAUCUAAAAUGUUUAAAUAGUUGUUUGCUUCAAAUUUGCUAUAUAUGACAUGGGGAUUUUCCAG